GUGCUUGCUUUAGCAGCACAUAUACUAAAAUUAAAACAAUACAGAGAAGAUUAGCAUGGCCCCUGCCCAAGGAUGACACACAAAUUAGUGAAGCAUUCCAUUUAAAA
ensembl:snRNA U6 U6 spliceosomal RNA